GGCGUACGUGUACGCACAGGGCGCCUGCGCGCGGGUUCCGGCAGCCCGCGAGACGCUGUCUGCGGGACUUGGUAGACGGCUGAGGUGCGGGAGCUGCGGGAGGAUGGAGCCACUGAAGAUGGAAAAGUUCACGACUGCCGACCGGGGAAACGGGCUGCGCGCAGUGGCCCCGCUACGCCCCGGGGAGCUGCUCUUUCGCUCGGAUCCUUUGGCGUACACGGUGUGCAAGGGGAGUCGUGGCGUCGUCUGCGACCGCUGCCUACUCGGGUACGUAUGGAGC
rnacentral:lncRNA from 1 species